rnacentral:rRNA from 1 species
UAUCAAUUAAGCGGAGGAAAAGAAACCAACAGGGAUUGCCCUAGUAACGGCGAGUGAAGCGGCAACAGCUCAAAUUUGAAAUCUGGCUCUUUCAGAGUCCGAGUUGUAAUUUGCAGAGGGCGCUUUGGCUUUGGCAGCGGUCCAAGUUCCUUGGAACAGGACGUCACAGAGGGUGAGAAUCCCGUACGUGGUCGCUAGCUAUUGCCGUGUAAAGCCCCUUCGACGAGUCGAGUUGUUUGGGAAUGCAGCUCUAAAUGGGAGGUAAAUUUCUUCUAAAGCUAAAUAUUGGCCAGAGACCGAUAGCGCACAAGUAGAGUGAUCGAAAGAUGAAAAGCACUUUGGAAAGAGAGUCAAACAGCACGUGAAAUUGUUGAAAGGGAAGCGCUUGCAGCCAGACUUGCUUGCAGUUGCUCAUCCGGGCUUUUGCCCGGUGCACUCUUCUGUAGGCAGGCCAGCAUCAGUUUGGGCGGUGGGAUAAAGGUCUCUGUCACGUACCUCUCUUCGGGGAGGCCUUAUAGGGGAGACGACAUACCACCAGCCUAGACUGAGGUCCGCGCAUCUGCUAGGAUGCUGGCGUAAUGGCUGUAAGCGGCCCGUCUUGAA